CUCUUAUCCCCUUCUCCAGCUGCAUGGUUACUAAACAGCAGUCACUAGUAUACGAAUGGGUGCUGUCUCCCGAAAGAAACACCACCAAUACCAUUUUAAGUGUGAAAAUUCUCAUGUGCCUUCCUUAUUUACAAGAGUGACAGCUCCCACCCGUCACCGCUGGGAAGGAUGGCAGAUUGUUUUCCUCCGGAUCAGCCUUCCAUCCAUACUGCUGGACCCUUCAGAAGAUCCAGGUUGUGGCUUAAAGUGGUCCUCUGUUGAGACAGGCUGUGGACUAUGCAUGUGGGAGCCAAAACCAUUGUCUUCCGAGCUCCUGAAGCAGCCUCUUUAGACUGACCCAUCUUGGUCGCUUUCCCGAACCCCAAGCCGUCUUGUGGGGCACCCUGUGUGGCAACCCCAAACUCGACACUACCCAGGAACUUUCCCUACUGAAGAGAGGUGGCCACACCAGCUGGGGAAAUCUUCGUGUGAGGGAGAAUGGAACAGUGUUGGUACCUGGAUCUCUACAGAACUGUUGUUCUCUACCGAACUUCAAAAGAUGUUCCCAUCAGCACAACCUGAACAAAUGGAGCCCAGGC
rnacentral:lncRNA from 1 species